GUCAGAAUGGCUAAGAUCAAAAGCACAAGUGAUAUCUCAUGCUGGAACAAGAGGAUGUGGAACGAGAAGAAUACUCUUCCACUGCUGUUUAUCCUGCUUACAAGAUAUGCUGGAGUAAUGGAGUCACAGAACUUGGAAUGUAGAAUGACGACAUGGAAGCCGGAGGAAUUAUGUUAUCAUACACAGUGAAGA